GUCCAGGCAGAUGUCGUUAUUCACAGCAGGGUUGGGGUACUUGGGGUACCGCGCUAGGAAUUUGUGGCAUAGCAACCCCAAGCUCUUCUCCUUCCGACUCGGCUGGGAUUUCUCAAAUUCGUCUCCUGAUAAGUGUUCCUGCAGAGGGAAAGCAGGUCAACAGCCUUCCAACAGCUCCGGGCUCCACACUGACCGUCCCUUCAUCCACAAGCCCCCAAACGCCACCCAGCCUCCCUGUAAACCUACGUGCAAACAGUCUCUAGCUUCAGAAGUGGAGUCUGAAUUCUGUCAUUGUGUGAGUGUGCGUAGCAUCUACAACGGUUCUAGAACUGAGGUCACGUCCUCUUGUGCUUAUCAGGAGGGUGGAAGGACAGUUUUCCCAGUUCCAGGACACGGCAGAAAGAACAGGAGAGAGAAGACUUUGUCCUCACUUGGUCUUCCCAGCAUCUAGCCCUGACCAAGGAGAGGAAGGGCUCGGUGAACACUGAUUGGCUAAGGUUCUACCUUAGCAGGCUAUCCUACCAAGUAGCGAGGAUGCUUUUCUCCCCGCCUGAAGCGUCAAGUGCAAUUGUGAACACGCACCAAGUGCUCAGUAAGGGAUGUGAACCUGUUUUGUACAAAUUGGUGGCUUGUUUGGGUUCUUCAGAAUUGUGGCUUCUGAUUCACUGGAGGUGGCUGUGCCCCUACCCCGCAACCCCCUGAAGUGGCUGGCAUUGGUGCAAAUGAGGCUGUUGAACCUGAUCGUGUUCUCUCUGGCCUUGGACCUGAGUGCUGCAGAGAGAGAGAGAGAGGGAGACUCUGAUGGCUCUGAAGAUCAUGGCCCUUCCCAUAUGAGGUUCUAGGCAGUAUUCCUGAGCCGGUCUCUUGCUCACUCCCCAGCCCUUUUGAAUACCCCUUUUCGGUAUGAAUUUGAUGAUCUAAUUUGACUAUCUCUCAAAUGCU
rnacentral:lncRNA from 1 species